rnacentral:rRNA from 1 species
GAGUUUGAUCUUGGCUCAGGAUGAACGCUAGCGGCAGGCCUAACACAUGCAAGUCGAGGGGUAACAGGGAGCUUGCUCCGCUGACGACCGGCGCACGGGUGCGUAACGCGUAUACAAUCUACCUUUUGUUACGGGAUAGCCCAGAGAAAUUUGGAUUAAUACCGCAUAGUAUAUUGAGAUCGCAUGGUUUUAAUAUUAAAGGUUACGGCAGAAGAUGAGUAUGCGUUCUAUUAGCUAGAUGGUGUGGUAACGGCAUACCAUGGCAACGAUAGAUAGGGGCCCUGAGAGGGGGAUCCCCCACACUGGUACUGAGACACGGACCAGACUCCUACGGGAGGCAGCAGUGAGGAAUAUUGGACAAUGGGCGAGAGCCUGACCCAGCCAUGCCGCGUGCAGGAAGACGGCCCUAUGGGUUGUAAACUGCUUUUAUACAGGAAGAAACACCUCUACGUGUAGAGGCUUGACGGUACUGUAAGAAUAAGGAUCGGCUAACUCCGUGCCAGCCGCCGCCGU